ACCCUUUCUCAUGCCACACGAUUUUUUCCUCUCUUUCAAUUUCUUUCUUCUCUUUUCAAUCUCAUCUCACUUUCUUCCCUCUAUUCUUCGAACAGCCGCCGCCGUCACCACCACUGUCAUCUCUCAUGCCCUGCUCAUGACCAGUCAUCGUUGAAUAGUCCUUCAGACUAAUUUUUUUCUUCGAUCGUCGUUGUGCUCGCCACCAUCAUCAGGAUCAAAUUAAUUGGAGAAUUUUUACUGUCAGCUAUGGAGUACUUUGUUUGGCUAAAAUCUCCAGGCGAAGGUAAAGGUAGAGGAAAGUUGGUGAGCGACAGAGAAAGAUCCGUGACAUGCCAUAUAGGAACUCAGUUUUGCUUCCGCGUAUAUGUAUCAGUGUUUUAGUAUUUCAUGUUUAAUAAAAAUUUAGUCUUCCCUCUUUUCAAGAAAGUGUCUAUUGUUAUUGUUUCUUUUUAGUAAUGACCUCAACUUAGUAUAAAAAGUUGGGUCGUUACAUGGUGUGCACACAAUGAAUAAAGGUGUUUGAGUGAAUGGCCUAAGCAACCAGAAAUGAACCAAGGAAAUUCCCCAAAGGAUAUUGGUGAAAGGUAUCCUAAGUCUAUGCGACUUGAUUCUGGUGAAACGAAUCCUAGGUUUAUGUAAAGGAAUGGUUCAUGUUCUUGGUGAAAAGGAAUAAGUAGAUGCUAACGUAUGAUUUAUAUGUUUUAUUAACAUAAGGCGUUGAUAGCCUGUUUAUGAAAAUGAAAAUGAAUUUGUUGAUUGAA